AAGUCCCGAGACAAAGAGAAGCGCCGCCGCCGCCGCCGCCCCGCUCAGUCCUCCGCCUGUCCGCGACGCUCGCCAGGGCCGCGGCCGCCCGAGGGACUCUGAACAUGUCAGGGAUCGCCCUCAGCAGACUCGCCCAGGAGAGGAAAGCGUGGAGAAAAGACCACCCGUUUGGUUUCGUGGCUGUCCCAACAAAAAAUCCCGAUGGCACGAUGAACCUCAUGAACUGGGAGUGCGCCAUUCCAGGAAAGAAAGGGACUCCGUGGGAAGGAGGCUUGUUUAAACUGCGGAUGCUUUUCAAAGAUGACUAUCCAUCUUCACCACCGAAAUGUAAAUUUGAACCACCGUUAUUUCACCCAAAUGUGUACCCUUCGGGGACAGUGUGCCUGUCCAUCUUAGAGGAGGACAAGGACUGGAGGCCAGCCAUCACAAUCAAACAGAUCCUAUUAGGAAUACAGGAACUUCUAAAUGAACCAAAUAUCCAAGACCCAGCUCAAGCAGAGGCCUACACGAUUUACUGCCAAAACAGAGUGGAGUACGAGAAGAGGGUCCAAGCACAAGCCAAGAAGUUCGCGCCCUCAUAAGCCACGGCCUGCGGCCUCCAGAAAGGAAGGGAUUGGUUUGGCAGGAACUUGUUUACAACACUUUUGCAAAUCUAAAGUUGCUCCGUACAAUGACUAGUCGCCUGGGGGGGGGUGGGGGGGGCGCCAUCUUCCAUUGCCGCCGCGGUCCGCAGUCUCGAUUCGCUCAGUUGCCCGUUUUUCAUACAGGGUCUCUUCCUUCAGUCUUUUGUAUUUUGAUUGUUAUGUAAAACUUGCUUUUAUUUUAAUAUUGAUGUCAGUAUUUCAACUGCUGUAAAAUGAUAAACUUUUAUACUUGGGUAAGUCCCCAGGAGCGAGCCCUCGCUCUCGGAGGCAAGCAUGCUUCUCACCGUGCAGAGCUCCACCGGGCCCCGGCUGGCUGUCUGGAAAUGCGCCCUCCCUCCGCCGCUCCUCUAGGGCCUGGGCUGUGUUGCUUUCAAGCCUCAGAUCCCAGGUCAGCCGCCUCUCCGUUCUGCGUCACUUCCUUUGUGUUUAUAUGGCGUUUUGUCUGUGUUGCUGUUUAGAGUAAAUAAACUGUUUAUAUA